rnacentral:rRNA from 1 species
AUUGAACGCUGGCGGCAGGCCUAACACAUGCAAGUCGAGCGAGGGGCGGACGGGUGAGUAAUGUAUGGGGACUGCCCGAUAGAGGGGGAUAACUACUGGAAACGGUGGCUAAUACCGCAUACUAUCGGAUAACCCAUAUGGGAUUAGCUAGUAGGUGGGGUAAAGGCUCACCUAGGCCACGAUCUCUAGCUGGUCUGAGAGGAUGAUCAGCCACACUGGGACUGAGACACGGCCCAGACUCCUACGGAGGCAGCAGUGGGGAAUAUUGCACAAUGGGCGCAAGCCUGAUGCAGCCAUGCCGCGUGUAUGAAGAAGGCCUUAGGGUUGUAAAGUACUUUCAGUAGCGAGGCGUUAACUACAGAAGAAGCACCGGCUAACUCCGUGCCAGCCGCCGCGGUAAUAC